rnacentral:lncRNA from 10 species
GGAGUCUCCAGGAGACCCGGGGACAGCAUCGCCCAGGCCCCUGGUGAGCUUGGGAUCUGCGACAAAAGGGACCGAGGGCUGGAGUGCAAUGGCGUGAUCUCGGCUCACCGCAACCUUCACCUCCCGGGUUCAAGCGAUUCUCCUGCCUCAGCCUCCCGAGUAGCUGGGAUUACAGUUUGCAGGCCUUUCAGAUAUAUCCAUCUCACAAGACAUCCCCGUAGAAGGAGAAAUCACCAUUCCUAUGAGAUCUCGCAUCCGGGAGUUUGACAGCUCCACAUUAAAUGAAUCUGUUCGCAAUACCAUCAUGCGUGAUCUAAAAGCUGUUGGGAAAAAAUUCAUGCAUGUUUUGUACCCAAGGAAAAGUAAUACUCUUUUGAGAGAUU